rnacentral:snoRNA from 1 species
UCAAGCAUCCUGAUGAUUUGAAAAACAAUGCAUAGUUCAUCUGAGGCAUUACAACCCCUGAAUGAAACAAAAUCACAAAUGUCUUUCGCUCCUAUCUGAAUUUGCUUCC